GGGGGCUCCCUGCUAGAUUUGGGGAAAAAUAAGGAUAAACCUUGUUUUUUUCCCCCCGGAGGAGUGCCUUUAAAAGAUAUUGAGGCAUUGUCUGCUGCAUGACAUUCUAACUAUUGUGCGUUCAAACAAUGAUUGUAAUUAUUUUAUCUUCUGCUAUGUUAGAUUCUAACUACUGUGCGUUCAAACAACGAUAGUAACUAUUUUUAAUUUUAUUUUUUUUUCAGUGAUUUCGGGGAAGCUUUGAAGCGUUUUCUAUCGUGCAGCAGCCCAACGAACAAAAAAUAAGCCAGUGGUUCAUGAUAGAAAGUGCAAUCGGGUGCUCGGUUCAAGCACGUCCUAGCACAAUCGUGCUUCUUGUGUUAGCCUAUCAGAAUAACAUGAAGGCAGGGCUGAAGAGAGAGUGGUGAAGAAGGCAGCUGAGCAGUUUCACAAACUUAUACAGCCAAAUAACAUCUCAAAAGCUCAUGGUCAGUGGUCAGAAACACUGCAGAGUGUGGUUGAAAUGGUCAUAGCUGAAUGGUCAGAAACAUUGCAGAGCAUAGCUGAGAAGCGGUACAGCUGCAAGAAUUGAACUCCUGAACCUUCCGUGAGCGUUAGAAGCAAAGUUCCAGAAUGGGAAAGUCUUGUCAUUUGACAAGUUAGACCCCAGCCUCAGGAAGCCUUUGGUGUCCUCAGCUCUCAAUAGCUUCUGGCACGUGAGCCAAAGUCAGAACGUUUUCUGGAAAAAGAUUUCUCUUACUGCAGAGUGGACGAGUGAAGAUCUGUUUUCAGAGAGCCCUUGAAUAUAAGGAACAUCCAAUUUUUGGCCAGAAAAUAGAUUAAACUUUUGAAACUCUGUUAAACUU